GACCCAGUGGCGGAUGGUCCGCGUCUGCCUUCAUUGCUAUCGUUCCACUGAGCCGACAGUAGAAGCCGCCCGUUCGACUCGGGCCUGGGUUA